rnacentral:rRNA from 1 species
AUUGAACGCUGGCGGCAGGCCUAACACAUGCAAGUCGAGCGAGCGGCGGACGGGUGAGUAAUGUAUGGGAAUCUGCCCGAUAGAGGGGGAUAACUACUGGAAACGGUAGCUAAUACCGCGUACUAUAGGAUGAACCCAUAUGGGCUUAGCUAGUUGGUGGGGUAAAGGCUCACCAAGGCGACGAUCUCUAGCUGGUCUGAGAGGAUGAGCAGCCAAACUGGGACUGAGACACGGCCCAGACUCCUACGGGAGGCAGCAGUGGGGAAUAUUGCACAAUGGGGGCAAGCCUGAUGCAUCCAUGCCGCGUGUAUGAAGAAGGCCUUAGGGUUGUAAAGUACUUUCAGCUGGGAGGCGUUACCUGCAGAAGAAGCACCGGCUAACUCCGUGCCAGCCGCCGCGGUAAUAC